GUUAAUGUAUGUAAUAUCCCAAAAUUUGUAUAAGAAAAAAAUUAGAAGAAAACCAAAAAAAUAAAAAUUAUUAACGAGGUGCUAAAGAAACAGUAAAGUCAGUAAGCGGAGCAAACUGCUCGGCCCAAGUCUUUGAUUCCAAAUACAGUUGCGAAACCCGACCCGCAACCCGACCCAUAUCCGGUCUGUUUUUCGGGUUAGUCUCCACACAUUCCAACCCGAUCCGAACUAAUUUCUCCGCCACCUCCACCGGGUACG
rnacentral:misc_RNA from 1 species